rnacentral:rRNA from 1 species
AUUUUUAAUAAAAAAUAAUAAUACUAUUUAAAGAAAAUUUAAAGGACGCGGUAACCUUGACUGUGAUAAUGUAGCAUAAUCAUUCGCCAUUUAAUUAAUGGAUAGUAUGAAUGGUUUAACGAAUAUUACACUGUCUCAAAAAAAGAUAUCAUGAAAAUGAAAUAAUAGUUAAGAUGCUAUUUAAAAUUGUAAGACGAAAAGACCCUAUAGAGCUUAACUAUAAACUUUUUAUUAUUAAAUAGAAAAUAUUUCCUAAUAAUAAAAAGACUGGUAGUUUAGUUGGGGCGACUAUCUUUUAAAAAUAACAAAGACAAGCAAUAUUAAUAUUAUAAUUUACUGUAUAAUCUAUAAAUUUAACAGUUAUAAAAAUAGGCCAUAAUGACCCGUCAUAAUUUAAUAAUAAAUAUGACGAUCAAUAAAUAAAAGCUACCUUAGGGAUAACAGGAUAAUUUUGUUUUAGAGACCUGAUCAAAAACAAAGUUUGU